GAGAAAAAGAAAGAGAGUGAGAGAAGGAGAAAAAGAGAGAAAAUAAGGGAGUCCAAAAUUUUGAGAAUUAGAAUUUUGGGUCUUGAGAAAUUGUAGCGUGAAGGGUUAAAUUAAGAUUCUUCACACCUAUCAGAUGAUUCUUCUAUCAAUCCUUCUAAUGAUUCUUCAAGCCCAUUUUUCCUCCUUCCUAGUGAUAAUCCAGGAUCUUUACUGGUUUAUGAGAUUUUUGCAGGAGAUAACUAUGUUGCCUGGAGCCGUUUGAUCACCAUUGCUCUCACUGUCAAGAACAAGGUGGCCUUCAUUGAUGGCUCAAUUUUUGUUGCUCCUACUACACAUUGUAUCUUACACACUGUCUGGCUUCGUGCAAACAAUUUGGUGCUUUCUUGGCUCAUGAAUUCCAUUUCUAAAGAUAUAAGAAACAAUUUAUUGUAUGUUACUUUAGCUGUUGAUCUCUGGAAUGAACUAAAGAUACAAUAUUUGAG